UCCUGUGUUCCUGCAGAUACUCAAUGAACUGCAGUUUAUAACACUUCUGCAUGGGCUUCAUAUUUUGAGACCGGAGACUGCCGCUUGAUCUAGAGUCCAAGGAAACUCCAUGAGACCAAUGUUCGAAUGUCCAUUUUCAGAGACAUGAACAUGUGCAGCCUGAUGAAACCAGCUUUGGUCUGAUUGGCUCAUUUCCAUUCAUAAACAUGAAUCGAGUCAACCUCUGCCCCGAGUCUGCUGUCUCCAGCUCUUAUGCACCCCUUCCUCUACUGAGCCACACUCGCCCCCUCUCAACCUCCCCACUCAGCUUUCACCUCAGUAAUACCAUUCUGUAACCUUUGCUCCAUUAAAUUCUCCUCAGCUGA